AAAGACAUAGCUUUGUGGAAAAGCACAUGCUUGGCACCCAGAAGGUCCCAGGUUCAGCUCCUGGUAUCUCCA